GGUGCUGUGGCUUAGUUGGUUAAACUGCCUGUUUGGUAAACAGGUGAUCAUGGGUUCAAAUCCCAGCAGCACAU